rnacentral:rRNA from 1 species
AGAUAUGAUCGUGAUGGAGGGACGCAGUAGGCUAAGAGAUGCCAGUUAAUGGAUUCUGGUCUAAGCAGUGAGGUGUGAGAUGUGUCAAAUGCAUUUCUCUUUAACAUUGAGCUGUGAUGGGGAAGCAACUACGGUUGCGAACUCUCUGAUGUCACACUGCCAAGAAAAGCUUCUAGCGUAAAGUCAUAUCUACCCGUACCGCAAACCGACACAGGUAGUCGAGGCGAGUAGCCUCAGGUGAUCGAGAGAACUCUCGUUAAGGAACUCGGCAAAAUAGCCCCGUAACUUCGGGAGAAGGGGUGCUGGUGUAAAAGCCAGCCGCAGUGAAUAGGCCCAAGCAACUGUUUAUCAAAAACACAGCUCUCUGCUAAACCGCAAGGUGAUGUAUAGGGGGUGACGCCUGCCCGGUGCUGGAAGGUUAAGAGGAGUGCUUAGACGUAAGUCGAAGGUAUGAAUUGAAGCCCCAGUAAACGGCGGCCGUAACUAUAACGGUCCUAAGGUAGCGAAAUUCCUUGUCGGGUAAGUUCCGACCCGCACGAAAGGCGUAAUGAUUUGGGCACUGUCUCAACGAGAGACUCGGUGAAAUUUUAGUACCUGUGAAGAUGCAGGUUACCCGCGACAGGACGGAAAGACCCCAUGGAGCUUUACUGUAGUUUGAUAUUGAGUACCUGUAAGUCAUGUACAGGAUAGGUAGGAGCCAUUGAAAUAGGGACGCUAGUUUCUAUUGAGGCGUUGUUGGGAUACUACCCUUGACUUAUGGUUACUCUAACCCGCUGGCAUAAUCGGCCAGGGAGACAGUGUCUGACGGACAGUUUGACUGGGGCGGUCGCCUCCUAAAGAGUAACGGAGGCGCUCAAAGGUUGGCUCAGAUUGGUUGGAAAUCAAUCGUAGAGUGUAAAGG